rnacentral:hammerhead_ribozyme from 1 species
AUCCAGAUGACGAGUCCUAAAAAUAGGACGAAAUGUGCGUCCCAGAU